rnacentral:rRNA from 1 species
CCUACGUGGAGCAGCAGUCGAGAAUCAUUCACAAUGGGGGAAACCCUGAUGGUGCGACGCCGCGUGGGGGAAUGAAGGUCUUCGGAUUGUAAACCCCUGUCAUGUGGGAGCAAAUUAAAAAGAUCGUACCACCAUAGGAAGAGACGGCUAACUCUGUGCCAGCAGCCGCGGUAAUACAGAGGUCUCAAGCGUUGUUCGGAAUCACUGGGCGUAAAGCGUGCGUAGGCUGUUUCGUAAGUCGUGUGUGAAAGGCGCGGGCUCAACCCGCGGACGGCACAUGAUACUGGGAGACUAGAGUAAGGGAGGGGGAACCGGAAUUCUUGGUGUAGCAGUGAAAUGCGUAGAUAUCGAGAGGAACACUCGUGGCGAAGGCGGGUUGCUGGACAGUAACUGACGCUGAGGCACGAAGGCCAGGGGAGCGAAAGGGAUUAGAUACCCUAGUAGUC